AUUGAACGCUGGCGGCAGGCCUAACACAUGCAAGUCGAACGAGUGGCGGACGGGUGAGUAAUGUCUGGGAAACUGCCUGAUGGAGGGGGAUAACUACUGGAAACGGUAGCUAAUACCGCAUACCAUCGGAUGUGCCCAGAUGGGAUUAGCUAGUAGGUGGGGUAAAGGCUCACCUAGGCGACGAUCCCUCGCUGGUCUGAGAGGAUGCACAGCCACACUGGAACUGAGACACGGUCCAGACGCCUACGGGAGGCAGCAGGGUGUAAGAUUUCACAAUGGGCGCAAGCCUGAUGCAGCCAUGCCGCGUGUAUGAAGAAGGCCUUCGGGUUGUAAAGUACUUUCAGCGGGGAGGCGUUACCCGCAGAAGAAGCACCGGCUAACUCCGUGCCAGCAGCCGCGGUAAUUC
rnacentral:rRNA from 1 species